rnacentral:rRNA from 1 species
ACUGGGAUAACUUCGGGAAACCGGAGCUAAUACCGGAUAAUAUUUCGAACCGCAUGGUUCGAUAGUGAAAGGUGGUUUUGCUAUCACUUAUAGAUGGACCCGCGCCGUAUUAGCUAGUUGGUAAGGUAACGGCUUACCAAGGCGACGAUACGUAGCCGACCUGAGAGGGUGAUCGGCCACACUGGAACUGAUACACGGGUCCAGACUCCUACGGGAGGCAGCAGGU